AGCUGGGUCCCACGCGGCAGGAUGGCUGAACCGUGUCAGGCCCUGACGGGAGCAUCACUAAGGCCUACACCUGGGUGCCGUGGGUGCGCCCGGCCUGA
rnacentral:SRP_RNA from 1 species